ACAACAAUAUUAGGACCGUCGGUCUACCGAGCAAUAUCACCCGCUCGGUGGAAGAUCUUCCCUUUGUCGUUAAGC
rnacentral:pre_miRNA from 1 species